rnacentral:piRNA from 1 species
CACCCCAACCAGGACAACCGGACCGUCU